rnacentral:lncRNA from 1 species
UGGGGAGGAGCUGGUCUUCCCUUUACAAUAACCAGCUCUCACAGGACCUGCAAGAACUGUGGCUCCAGGAAAUGCAUGCCUUAUUCACAUGAUGCGGUGGUGCAGGUGUGACUGCACCCAGGGCACUGCCGUUCAUGUGGAAACAGAGCACAUACAACAGACCCCAAAGGAGUCCUGAGAACCUAGGAAAGCCCGCAGGUACCUUCUUCGCUCACUCUACACCUUCUGUGAACUACCUGGAUCUCACCUGAGCUCUGCGGCCUCACGCAGCCUCACGUGACCGUGUCGCCUUGCUGGACUCAGGCGUCUGCUGUCCCCGAGCCACCCGCACCCACAGAGGGCCCCUGAUGCAAACCGUCACCCCAAUGCGCCUCCACACGCCCAGGUGCCCAGCGGAGCCAUCUGCAGAGCUGUGUCCAGUGUCAAACCACAAAAUAAACUUCCAGCACAUCUGCUAAUUAAUUAUUCCAUUAGCAUGCAUACCAAAG